CUCCCUCGACUCCUUGCGGAACAGGCCGCUCUUAGGAGCUUUGCAUCCGCACUCUCGUCAUGGACCGGAUGCUCGAAUGCCAUGGACAGAGUGCAGGACAACCGUCGGUGCGGCUCGCAUCCCACGCCAGCAGAGAAAAAAGGGGAUAUUGUUGGAACUCCAUUACUCGGGAGAAACCAAAAAAGCAAAAAAAAGCAUGGCUCUUUGUCUCAUAUGUUGCGACAGUCGUGAUGGCUACUGCGCAAGUCACCAAACAUGAUGGCACGGUUUUUCGUUGUACCGCAUGGCAGACAUGAAGUGAAUUUGGAGUUGAAGAAGGAAGUUGAUGUAUGGGGUAUGAUGUUGUUUGUGUGAAGUUUCCGAUAGUGACUAUAUUGGUAGUUUCUUGUUUUUUUUGCUUUCUAUAUAUGACAUCUUUGCCAUUUUAAAUUUCUAUGGAUGACUGGUAAAAUUUCAU